rnacentral:rRNA from 1 species
GGAGGGGUGCAAGCGUUAAUCGGAAUUACUGGGCGUAAAGCGCACGCAGGCGGUCUGUUAAGUCAGAUGUGAAAUCCCCGGGCUCAACCUGGGAACUGCAUUUGAAACUGGCAGGCUUGAGUCUUGUAGAGGGGGGUAGAAUUCCAGGUGUAGCGGUGAAAUGCGUAGAGAUCUGGAGGAAUACCGGUGGCGAAGGCGGCCCCCUGGACAAAGACUGACGCUCAGGUGCGAAAGCGUGGGGAGCAAACAGGAUUAGAUACCCUGGUAGUCCACGCUGUAAACGAUGUCGACUUGGAGGUUGUUCCCUUGAGGAGUGGCUUCCGGAGCUAACGCGUUAAGUCGACCGCCUGGGGAGUACGGCCGCAAAGGUUA